rnacentral:rRNA from 1 species
UACGGAAGGCAGCAGUGGGGAAUAUUGCACAAUGGGCGAAAGCCUGAUGCAGCUAUGCCGCGUGUAUGAAGAAGGCCUUAGGGUUGUAAAGUACUUUCAUCGGGGAGGAAAAAACAAAACUAAUAAUUUUAUUUCUUGACGUUACCCGAAAAAGAAGCACCGGCUAACUCCGUGCCAGCAGCCGCGGUAAUACGGAGGGUGCUAGCGUUAAUCAGAAUUACUGGGCGUAAAGAGCACGUAGGUGGUUUUUUUAAAGUCAGAUGUGAAAUCCCUGGGCUUAACCUAGGAACUGCAUUUUGAAACUGAAAUACUAGAGUAUCGUAGAGGGAGGUAGAAUUCUAGGUGUAGCGGCGAAAUGCGUAGAUAUCUGGAGGAAUACCUGUGGCGAAAGCGGCCUCCUAAACGAAUACUGACACUGAGGUGCGAAAGCGUGGGGAGCAAACAGGGAUUAGAUACC